AUUGAACGCUGGCGGCAGGCCCAAGACAUGCAAGUCGAACGGUAACGACACUAGCUUGCUAGUGGUCGACGAGUGGCGGACGGGUGAGUAACGCGUAGGAAUCUACCUAGUAGUGGGGGACAACUCGGGGAAACUCGAGCUAAUACCGCAUACGCCCUACGGGGGAAAGCGGGGGACCUUCGGGGCCUCGUGCUAUUAGAUGAGCUUGCGUUGGAUUAGCUUGUUGGUGGGGUAAUGGCCCACCAAGGCGACGAUCCAUAGCUGGUCUGAGAGGAUGAUCAGUCACACUGGAACUGAGACACGGUCCAGACUCCUACGGGAGGCAGCAGUCGGGAAUAUUGGACAAUGGAGGCAACUCUGAUCCAGCCAUGCCGCGUGCAGGAAGACGGCCCUACGGGUUGUAAACUGCUUUUAUACAGGAAGAAACGCCGCUACGUGUAGCGGUUUGACGGUACUGUACGAAUAAGGAUCGGCUAACUCCGUG
rnacentral:rRNA from 1 species